UUAAUCGAAGCCAAAAUAGAGGCUUUCCAUUGUUAAUGGGAUUAAUGAUUAUAUAAUCCGAUUAAA
rnacentral:tRNA from 1 species